UUUUGUUUGUAAAUUAAAGCCUAAUGGGGUAAUGGACGUGCAUGAUGUUGGUCAUUCCUGGCCACCCAUUCCCAGAUAAUGUCCACAAUGGCCCAAGAGCACAAAAUUCCCAUGGACCCAAUUCGGAGGAGUCCAGCAAGACUCAGGGUGAGAACAGGGCAAACACCUACAUCUGCAUAAUCAAGGGUG